rnacentral:rRNA from 1 species
UAGGGAAUCUUCGGCAAUGGACGAAAGUCUGACCGAGCAACGCCGCGUGAGUGAAGAAGGUUUUCGGAUCGUAAAACUCUGUUGUUAGAGAAGAACAAGGACGUUAGUAACUGAACGUCCCCUGACGGUAUCUAACCAGAAAGCCACGGCUAACUACGUGCCAGCAGCCGCGGUAAUACGUAGGUGGCAAGCGUUGUCCGGAUUUAUUGGGCGUAAAGCGAGCGCAGGCGGUUUCUUAAGUCUGAUGUGAAAGCCCCCGGCUCAACCGGGGAGGGUCAUUGAAAACUGGGAGACUUGAGUGCAGAAGAGGAGAGGGGAAUUCCAUGUGUAGCGGUGAAAUGCGUAGAUAUAUGGAGGAACACCAGUGGCGAAGGCGGCUCUCUGGUCUGUAACUGACGCUGAGGCUCGAAAGCGUGGGGAGCAAACAGG